UUUCUAUUUUUUAAAGUUUGAAAUUGUAUUAUGUUUUUUUGUAUUAUUAUAUAUUUACUUUACAAUAUUCUUUUUAUUAGAAGUUGUUAUUUAGGAUUCUGUUUGCAAUCAAUUAAUUAAUGAAACAUCAAACUUAAUUCAUAAUGGCGACAAGAGUUUGUUGUUUACAAUGAUCUAAAUCAGAUUUCUUAACAGAUUAUAAUAGCUUUGAAACAAUGAUAAUGAAAGUUUUUUCAUCGUUCUAAAUUUAUGCUACAGUUAUGGUCGUAAAAGAUUAAGAAAAAUCUUAUGGGUGCAAUUAUUCCACUGACACCGCGAAAAUUA